rnacentral:rRNA from 1 species
UACGUAGGCAGCAAGCGUUGUUCGGAGUUACUGGGCGUAAAGGGUGCGUAGGCGGCUUUUUAAGUUUGGUGUGAAAUCUCCCGGCUCAACUGGGAGGGUGCGCCGAAUACUGAGAGGCUAGAGUGUGGGAGAGGAAAGUGGAAUUCCUGGUGUAGCGGUGAAAUGCGUAGAUAUCGGGAGGAACACCUGUGGCGAAGGCGGCCACCUGGACGACAACUGACGCUG